rnacentral:lncRNA from 1 species
AAAGUUUGAAUCGUAGUCUAAGUCUCACUUUCAUUUCCUCAGAUAUGAAAGCAGAAUUGUUGAGCACAUUUAGAUAAUCAUAUCACUAUAGAGCCAAAUAUGUCCUUGCAAAGAAAAAGGGAAAAAAGGAUUAAUUGUUGAUCAAGACAAAAGGAUAAUGAUAGCAUCAUGAAUUUCCCGCACUAGAUGUGUAGCUUCCAAACUCGAGGCGAUUUUUCUCACACUCUAGAUCUUUAGUUAUGGGUUUGAUACGAGGCUUAUCUAGCAGGUAGCUGGAAAAUGAAAUGCAAAUCCCUAAAUUGUUUCAUGAGCAAGCCACAUUGCCUUACAGUGUGAAUUUCCUACAUCAAAUCUAUACAUUCUAAUAAUCCAACUCCCUCUAAGCUACCAUUGUAGGCAACUAGAUAGUACAUUUGCUUUUGUUUUGCAUUGUUAGGAAAUCAACAGAUCAAUCGUUCAGAAUUAAACUGAUUAUUAAUGAUAGCCUGUAGAGUACAACUAAAUUUGAUAACAAAAUACUACAGUUGGUAGAAACUAUGGAUCAGAAUCAGAAGGAAUUAAUCUGAAAAAUAUAAUCACAUACCAAAUUAAGUGCUCUUCCACUGUAAGAUCUUAAGAACAAAAACCCUAGAUUGGGAUUAGAAGUUGAUCGUGCGCACAAUCUGAGCACUUGAGCUUCUCCAAAGUUGAUGACGAGGAGAGGACAAAACUUGAGGACGGCGUUGCGGCGGUGGUGGUGAUAAUCGAGCUACGCGAAAAUCUCUUGCGGAAGGAGAAGGGAUCGACAUGAGAUUAGAGAAAUCGCCAUAAGAGACACAGUGAGGUAGCACCUAGAGCUCGCCAUGGGAGAUCGUGAGGGAGGUGAAAUGGAGGAGAUGAUGUGGGAAAGAGGGUUGGAGAGGAGCAAGGUGGGUUAAUGGGUUUCUUUUCUUUUUUUUUUCCAUUUUUUUGGGUGCUUUAGGUCAGGUAACG